UCUCAAGUGCUGGAUACACAUUGCUGGUGGAGAUGAUUUCAUGUCGUUUAUUGAGCACCUACAUUAGGCAGAGCUGUUUCACAGGCAGGGCCUUAUUGGAAGCAUUUCUCUGUUUUCCAGGGAAGAGCGGAAAUCCCCCAGGGGGGAGGUCCUAAAUUCUUCUCCCACUGGGACAGCUAUGCAGGGAUCCUGCCUGCAGUGUGCAGUGGCUUCUCCUGAGCCCAUCUGCCCUUCUUUGUCUUCUUAUGAAGGCCGAGGAGUGACCCCUUCAAGCAGCACAGAGAGGCAGUGGGUUGAGGGAUGCCAAAGAUGCUGGCCUCUGCUUCUGGGACAGGGCCAGAGCCCCAGCCUGUUGCUCCUACCUUAGGGCCAGGGAUCUGUGCAGCUGCGUUGUGGUCUGCAGGGUGGAGACACUGAGGCAGAGUACAGGAGCUGGGCCUCAUUUCUGUGCCUUCGUAGCCAGCCAUGACCAGGUGCCCUCUGGAUGCAGGAUGGCCCUGCCACCUUGGAGUUUGGGGCUGGAAAGUGGGAGAGCAUAGAAUAUUCUGGAGAGAAUCAUCUUCAUGGCGGUAGGAAAGGGAGACCAUUGUUAAUGACAACAACCCAGAAGGUACCUUAAGGGGUCAUCUAGCUCUAGUGCCCCUGCAGGAAGGAAGGCCCUGUGGCCACAAUGAUUUCAGCUUAUCAUGUGCAGGUGCUGUUCCAGUUAUUGACUAAUUUAAUCUUCUCAGUAGCCUUACAGGGCAAACGACUUUACAGUUGUGGAAAGUAAGGAACAGAGAGGUUAGGUAACUUGCCCUAGAUCAUACAGCUAGUGAGGGGUAGAUUGAGAAUUCACACUUGGACCAUCUGACUCUCAACCUCCCCUUCUCACCUGCCCUGACUCUCUUGCCUCAGAGUUUGGGACAGACUUCCAAAGAGGGCCUUUUGCUGCUUGCCCUUGUUCUCAAUCUUGGAGCAUUCACCAUCCCUUUGCUCCUCAUCUCCUGGACCUCCUUGGAUUUUGGAGGUUGGUUGACCCACAUCAUUCAGAGUCCAGGAGGCAGAUCGUCACACACGAUUCCCUUGGGGAAUCUUUCCAGGAUCCAGCUCCCAAGACCGCCUAGUCCUCCUCUUGCUGGUUCUCAGAGGCAGGAUCCUUGUUUUUGACGGACAGCCCCGCUCUUGCUCUCGGGCCCCCCCACUCCAUGCCCCACCCCUCACCUCCACUUGCUCUCAGCAUCAAGCCUUGAGCCUGUGGCCAGCCGUCCCUGCUGCCAUCCUGGCCUGCUUACCUGGAGGGGGACCGACCUUCCCAAAGAGACCAGGGGGUCUUAUAGCCUCUCUGAAACCUUCGUUUCCCCUGACAGAAAGUUGACAACAACACAGAUCCCAGGUUUCUCUUAAUCUCUCCUUCUCUCUCUCUUUAACCUAUUUAUGUUAUUCCGGAUGAAGAUGCUGGUUGGGCACUUUUAAUAAAGAGAGCCCUCUGUAAGUGGGACCCUCA
rnacentral:lncRNA from 1 species